AGCAGUCGCCGCGGGAAUACGAAGGGUGCAAGCGUUACUCGGAAUUACUGGGCGUAAAGCGUGCGUAGGUGGUGGUUUAAGUCCGUUGUGAAAGCCCUGGGCUCAACCUGGGAAUUGCAGUGGAUACUGGGUCACUAGAGUGUGGUAGAGGAUAGUGGAAUUUCCGGUGUAGCAGUGAAAUGCGUAGAGAUCGGAAGAAACAUCUGUGGCGAAGGCGACUAUCUGGGCCAACACUGACACUGAGGCACGAAAGCGUGGGGAGCAAACAGGAUUAGAUACCCGAGUAGUCCCUGUCUCUUAUAC
rnacentral:rRNA from 1 species